GGGGGUCAGAGACUCAUUCAGAGAGCAAGACUCUGGUCUCUGCCCUGCUUCAGCACCCAAAUCUUUAGGGAGCUGGCUGGUGGGCUGCCAGGCAGUUAGGCCUAUGGAGAGCUGCUGUCAGUCUCUCUAGGAGGCCAUGGUUUCCUGCAUGUGGGGGAGAGCCCCAUCCCCCAGACUCUGGAGUGAGUUUAAUUUCCCAAGGCAAGUCUGCCUGAUUGUCCUCUCCUUUCCUUACCUUCAGCACCAAGAAGUUUCCGGUCCCGGUACAGAUCAGUGAGGAAGAGGCUAUUGACAAGUGUGGAUUUGCCCAGGCCAGACUCUCCUGAGAGGAGAGAGGACAGAGGCACCAAAUCAGAAGGGACCCUUCUCUGGGCUGUCUGAUAGUCUGCAGAGACACAGCUGCUUCCGUGCUCUAGGAGAGAGGGACUCCUUGGAGAUCUGAUCUCACUAGUAGUCGUAAUUCUUUGGAUGGGCUCAGUUUGUACUGCUUCAUCCUUUGGAGAAGGCUCCAGACCCUCCUUUACUCUCCCGAGAUUCUAGAAAUUCUCAGGACUCAUCCAGAGAAGGAAUCAGCCAGAAGAUCCUAUGAAGACAAGAUCAAACCAAACACGCUGUGUUCGCCCCAGUUUUAAUAAGAAAUCUGACUGAAAACAAAUGGUUGAAUGUGCUGCUAACAGAGAGGGCCAAACGAUGAUGUCUAUUGUGGCAGCUGAACAAAGUGAGACUUACAGAACUGGAACUGCUGCCCUGACAGCAACUGAAGCAGAAAGAGAAGAAAGGAGCUUACAACCAGGACACUCAAACUCAGGCCAGGAGUCCGUCUAUGAUCCAAUUCCAAUCAGUCUGACAAGUCACUCUGAUCCAGCACGAUUAUCCUAUGCACAUGUUUUUUAAAGAACAAAAAAGGAAGUUUCGAGUUGGUAUGUGUGUUUUUUAAAGACACAAACCACAUCCUCUUUCUAUUCAAUUAAAUUCAAGGGAAAGGAAUUUUGGUCUUUAUAAUCAAGGGCGAUUAUAACCAACAGUGUGUCAUGGAAAUGCAAAAUGACUACAGAGCAAUUGACAGCAGCAUCUUCUGUAUUCUCUCCAUAUUAAACCUGUUCUUUUUUUUUUUUUGAGACGGAGUCUUGCUCUUAUCCCCCAGGUGGAGUGCAAUGGCGCGACCUCGGCUCACUGCAACCUCUGCCUUCCGGGUUUAAGCGAUUGUCCUGCCUCAGCCUCCUGAGUAGCUGGGAUUACAGGUGCCUGCCACCAUGCCCGGCUAAUUUUUGUAUUUUUAGUAGAGACGGGGUUUCACCAUGUUGGCCAGGCUGGUCUCGAACUCCUGACCUCAGGUGAUCUGCCCGCCUCGGCCUCCCAAAGUGCUGGGAUUACAAGUAUGAGCCACCGUGCCUGGCCUAAAACUGUUCUUAUGCUGACUCUAUCACUUAUUGAAUCAAAGUUGGCAUUAAUUUCACUUUAUAGUUUAAUUAACUAUAAACACUAACAUUUUAAAAAUUAAGCAACUUUGUCUAAAUUGGAGUCUUUGUCAUUAAUGUGUAUUUAGACACUGGUAAAUGUUUUUAAGUCUGCUUCUGUUGUCUAUAAACAUGACUUUUGAUCUACAAACAUCUGAUAUUUCAUUACC
ensembl:lncRNA SEPTIN4-AS1 SEPTIN4 antisense RNA 1